GUGCUUACCUUGCCUGUUGAAUAAUCUGCCCAUGGACUUCGGCAGCACAUAUACUAAAAUUGGAAUGAUACAGAGAUUAGCAUGGCCCCUGCACAUGGAUGACACAUAAAUUUGUGAAACGUUCCAUAUUUUU
rnacentral:snRNA from 1 species